rnacentral:tRNA from 1 species
GCCUGGCUGACUCAGUCAGUAGAGCAUGUGACUCUUAAUCUCAGGGUGGUGAGUUCAAGCCCCGUGCUGGGUG